AGCCGCUCUUGCCAACUACACUUAUUUAACCAAGCGCUGUCGACAACGUCCUUGCCAUCGGACGCCGAGCGCCCGCCCAAGUUGGACGCCAUAGUCGGACCAACUGGUGCAUUCAA
rnacentral:ribozyme from 1 species